rnacentral:pre_miRNA from 1 species
AUGUAGAGCAAUCUCUGUCUAAGUAGGGGUAAUUACUCUUUAAAAAAAAAAAAAAAUCCUAGAUAGUUUUCCCUUCAAGUAAAGCGUCUUGU